GCGCGGAUGGUGUAGUUGGUUAUCACAUCCGCUUAGCAUCCUAACAACAAAUGUAAUCAACUUUGCGGGGGGUGCUGGGUUCAAUUCCCAGUGUGUCCA